AAAGUCGUAACAAGGUUUCCGUAGGUGAACCUGCGGAAGGAUCAUUAUUGAAUCUAGCAAGCCUGGCAUAUUUAUUUUGCAAGGUUUUGCGCGUAUUUUAAAACCCCACACUUUUGAAAAUAAAACAUAUCUUACUUAAAAAUAAGUAAAAGAUCACUUUCAACAACGGAUCUCUUGGCUCUC
rnacentral:misc_RNA from 1 species